GCAAGUCGAACGAGAGAGAAGGAGCUUGCUUCUUCGAUCGAGUGGCGAACGGGUGAGUAACGCGUGAGGAACCUGCCUCAAAGAGGGGGACAACAGUUGGAAACGACUGCUAAUACCGCAUAAGCCCACGGGUCGGCAUCGACCUGAGGGAAAAGGAGCAAUCCGCUUUGAGAUGGCCUCGCGUCCGAUUAGCUAGUUGGUGAGGUAAUGGCCCACCAAGGCGACGAUCGGUAGCCGGACUGAGAGGUUGAACGGCCACAUUGGGACUGAGACACGGCCCAGACUCCUACGGGAGGCAGCAGUGGGGAAUAUUGCACAAUGGGGGAAACCCUGAUGCAGCGACGCCGCGUGGAGGAAGAAGGUCUUCGGAUUGUAAACUCCUGUUGUUGAGGAAGAUAAUGACGGUACUCAACAAGGAAGUGACGGCUAACUACGUGCCAGCAGCCGCGGUAAAACGUAGGUCACAAGCGUUGUCCGGAAUUACUGGGUGUAAAGGGAGCGCAGGCGGGAAGACAAGUUGGAAGUGAAAUCUAUGGGCUCAACCCAUAAACUGCUUUCAAAACUGUUUUUCUUGAGUAGUGCAGAGGUAGGCGGAAUUCCCGGUGUAGCGGUGGAAUGCGUAGAUAUCGGGAGGAACACCAGUGCGAAGCGGCUACUGGGCACCAACUGACGUGAGGCUCGAAAGUGUG
rnacentral:rRNA from 1 species